rnacentral:snoRNA from 1 species
AACCCAUGGUGUGGGCACUCUCUCUGGUAUUCCUUAUAAAUUUCCCAAGCUUCAUGAAAAGGUUCAUCAGACUUCUGCUUGAAGUUGGAGAUUCUGUGCCGUAAAGCC